CUGUUUGUGCAGUGAAUGCAGAGUGUGUGUUUGUGUAGCAGAUGCAGUGUGUAUAGUGAAUGCCGAGUGUAUUUGAGUAGUGGAUGUAGUGUGUGUACAGUGAUGUAGUGUGUGUUUGUGUAGUGGAUGUAGUGUUUGUAUGUACUAGAUGAAAUGUGUUUAGUGGAUGCAGUGUCUGUAGUGGAUGUAGUGUGUGUAUUAGACUCGGUGUCUGUGUAUAGUGAAUGCAGAGUGUUUCAAUUUGUGGUGGAUGUAGUGUGUGUACUGUGAAUUCAUGAUGUUUGUGUAGUGGAUGCGGUGUGUACAGUUAAUGCAGAGUGUAUGUUAGUGUAGUGAAUGCAGAGUGUGUGUCAGUAUAGUGAAUCCAAAGUGUGUGCAUAGUUUAGUGAAUGCAGAGUGUGUGUUAGUGUGUAGUGAAUGCAGAGUGUGUCAGUGUAAUGAAUGUAGUGUGUGUGUAAAUUUAUAGUGAAUGCAGAGUGUGUGUUAAUGUAUAGUGAAUGCAGAGAGUGUGUUAGUGUGUAGCGGAUGCAGAGUGUGUGUUAGUGUAGUGAAUGCAGAGUGUUAAUGUGUAGUGAAUGCAGAGAGUGUGUUAGUGUGUAGCGGAUGCAGAGUGUGUGUUAGUGUAGUGAAUGCAGAGUGUGUUAAUGGGUAGCGAAUGCAGAGUGUGUGUCAUUAUAGUGGAUGCAGUGAGUGUGUUAGUGUGUAGUUUAUG